rnacentral:lncRNA from 1 species
AUGAAGCAUGAUGGAAAAUAUAACCCAAAAAUUGGGUCUGUGUAUUUGUGUGCGUGGUUAAGAGAGAGAAAGGAGAAGAAAAUAGUUCUUCAUCUUACAUCAAUAAAAUUCAACAAUUGGUAAGAAGAAAAUGGAUGGAUCAUAUGCAUGAACCCUAAAGAUUGAUCAGCUAAGAUUUUGCAACAAAAGGAAUAAAGGAAGAAGGGUCGAGCCACACGAAGCAACAAGGAGCCCAAGACCAAGGUAAAACCGCACUUUGAGCGGACUCGCGAUGCUUGGAACGAACACACGCGCAAGCUUCCUUCUUGCCCUUAAUGCGCUUCCGAAAUAGCUUAUGUUAUGGGUCAAAACGUUUGGUUGUCUAUACAGUUAAAAUCUAGUGGUUAAUUAUGUUCCAAAUCAUGUACUUUAUAAUUUUUGUGAAAUGGUAAACGGUUAAAUCUGGCUUUAAGAACUUAGCUUUGUAUAUUUUGAUCAAAUAUUAAGUAAAGUUUAAAAGUUCAAA